UCCCUGGUGGCUCAGAUGGUAAAGCGUCUGCCUGCAAUGUGGAAGACCCCGGGUUCAAUUCCUGGGUUGGGAA
rnacentral:tRNA from 1 species